rnacentral:rRNA from 1 species
UACGUAGGGGGCAAGCGUUGUCCGGAUUCAUUGGGCGUAAAGAGCGUGUAGGCGGCCAGGUAGGUCGGUUGUGAAAACUGGAGGCUCAACCUUCAGACGUCGACCGAAACCAUCUGGCUAGAGUCCGGGAGAGGAGAGUGGAAUUCCUGGUGUAGCGGUGAAAUGCGCAGAUAUCAGGAAGAACACCCGUGGCGAAAGCGGCUCUCUGGAACGGUACUGACGCUGAGACGCGAAAGCAUGGGGAGCGAACAGG